ACCCUCCAGAGUCGAGAGCCAUCUCUCCUCCACUGCCGCCGCAGCGGAGAGCCCCUCUGUCCUCAACUACGCCCUCCACCGCCGACCCCCUCCGCCGAUGUGGCGACCCCCACUGAGAUCGAUGCCGCCGGUGCGUCGAGAUCGACCUCGACUCCGUCCACACGGAUCUGGUGUGCGUGGUCAACGUCGCCUCGCUCCCCACGGCACCGCCCUAGGACUGGUCGACGGCGCCGGUGCGUCGAGGUCGACGUCGCCUUGAUCCCCAGCACGAGAUCCCGCUACGAACUCCGGGCCUGUUGUCUCAAGUUCGCCGUGCCAGCCCACGCCAUCGCGCUCCUUUUCUCCGCGACCCUCCACGCGGACGAGCGUGGUCGGGCUCCCCACCACGUCUCCUACCACACCGACGGCGAGCGCGGUGCCUGCUCCCCACUACGCUAAUACAUCAUGGUGCUCAGAUCUGUCAUGGUGGAAACGCGAUGCAGAUUUUCCCUCCCUUCCACCGAAUUACUACUGGGCUCCAAGUCUUUCUUAUUGCUGCCUCUUUAUUUUGCUUCCAAAUUGAUGCAGGCGCUAUCAGUGAAAGGAUUGGGGACUGGUUCUAGCAGUGUUAGGACAAGUAGUCACUAGCAGCUGAGCAAAGGCUACAACAUGCUCGGAGGAGAAGUUUGAAUGGAGACAGAGAGUACACUUUGUUUACCAAAGAUACACUGGUUGAUGGAGGUAUGGGUGAUCUACAAGCUUCUGAGGAUUUGCAUGAUCUACAAGCUUCUGAGGAUUUGCAUGAUCUACAAACUUCUGAAGGCUUGGAUGACCUACAAGCUGCUGAAUGUUUGCAAGACCUACAAUUAAGUUGGUGGAGUGAUUAUGUAAUGUGCCUUGUUUGUUGAACCUGGUGACAUUGGCAGGUUCUGCUCAUCUUGGUGGUUGUUUUGGCACAUAAGCAGCCACUAUAUGCUCUUUUUGGUUGGGUGGCACACCUAGAAACAUAUAUACUUCUCUCCUUGAGGCACCACUUAUAUUUUUGUUGUGACGCACACCUAGAAACAUAUAUGUGCUCCUUUUGUGGCACAACCUGUAUAUGUAUGGUUGUUAUGUUUAUUAAAUGAAGUUUAAGGUUUUCGAUGA